AGAUUUAGCAUGAUUCUUAUAAAAGCAUGCUUGAAUUAUGAAUUGGGUAUGAAAAGGAGGUCCUUAGCCCUGGUGAUGGAGGCUGCUGCAGCUACAGGACUACCUGUGUCUUUAGUUAAGAACUGGAUUUGUAACUAUAGGUGUUCACUUAAUACCUCCUGCAACACCUGGCGCCGCAAAGCUGCUGGUUAUAAGUGCAGUGUCUGCCUAUAACUUGUUUUGCGCAGAGCUGCUGAAGGGGAAAGAGUCCUUCCGGUUUUGACCCUUGCCUGUUUCUGGACUUUGUGUCUGCCUGCCUUGACCACGAGCCUGUCUGCCACUCUGUACCUCCUGGACUCUGAUCUGGUUUUGACCUUUUUUGCCUGUCCACGACCAUUCUCUUGCCUACCUCUUUGGAUUAAUAAACA